CGCACGAGCGCACCCCUGUCCUUAGUUGCCAUCAGGUAAUGCUGGGAACUCUAAGGAGACAGCCUGUGACAAGCAGGAGGAAGGUGGGGAUGACGUCAAGUCAUCAUGGCUCUUACGUCCUGGGCUGCAAACGUGCUACAAUGGCUGGUACAAAGGGUUGCGAUACCGCGAGGUGGAGCCAAUCCCAAAAAACCAGUCUCAGUUCGGAUUGGAGUCUGCAACUCGACUCCAUGAAGGUGGAAUUGCUAGUAAUCGCGGAUCAGCAUGCCGCGGUGAAUACGUUCCCGGGUCUUGUACACACCGCCCGUCAAGCUAGGAAAGACGGAAACGGCUGAAGUCGCUCACCCAACCGCAAGGAGGGAAGUGCCUAAGCCGGAGUUGUCGAUUCGAGCUAAGUCGUAACAAGGUAGCCGUACCGGAAGGUGCGGCUGGAUCACCUCCUUU
rnacentral:rRNA from 1 species